AAAUUUGAAUAGCAACAAAACAAAAGUUGAGAGGAGGAGCAAGAGUGGAGAAGUAGAAGUACGUAGCUUUAAAUCACAGAGGACUGAGACUCAAGGAAAACUUGAAAAUCCAUCAUAUUCAAUUCAGGGAAGAGGGAAACAACUGGAUAAUCUCAAGAAAUGGCUUCAAACUUCAAUGACAUUGUCAAGCAGGGCUAUGUACGGAUGCGCAGUCGCAAACUUGGGAUUUAUCGGCGUUGUUGGUUAGUUUUCAAAAAGUCAUCCAGUAAAGGGCCUUGUCGACUUGAGAAGUACCCUGAUGAGAAGUCUGCCCACACCAGAUCCUGCUCUAAGGUGACAGAAAUCAGCAACGUUCAGACUGUCAGACGGCUGCCUCGGGAUACCAAGCGACAAGCGGUGGCCAUUGUAUUUACUGAUGACACCUCACGCACUUUCACUUGUGAUUCAGG